GGCAUGCAUUACCACCACGCACCUUAUUGUUUUUUGUUGUUGUUGCUGCUGCUGUUGUUGUUGUUGCUUUUAAAGAAGCUCACAAUGUCUCCAGGAAAAACUGGUGGAUUACAGUAAAGAGGGUCUUCUAUUGGUUUAUGUUACCUACUAAAACAAUACAGAUGGGGAUGGUAAGAUGGUUUGGAAGAUUUUUCUAGGCUUUCUUUAUGUCAAAUCUUCCUUCAUAUGAACAAGCCAGAGAAGAAAUAACUUGUCAGAGGCGAAGUACACAGCAAAGGGAAAUUAUUCAGUACUGAAAGCAAACCACAUAUCACAUCACAUCACGCAGGCAGAAGAGAUUGGCAAAUUGCAACAGGUUGGAAGGUGCACUUGACAUUCAGAUGCUCAUCUGAACUUUAUCUGAACAACUCAGAUGCCUCAGUUCUACAACACAAAGCUAUGGAUUUUAUUAUUCUCUUCUGAAGCCUUUGAAGUGCUGUUGCAUGAAGUUUAUAAACAUCCCUUUUUCUUCAGGAUGAAAAAAACAUGAACCAAUAUAUUGAUCUACAGAAAAAAGUAUAAAGCUUUACAACUUUGAAGUCAAUCUGUCAGUCUCCAAUAUUAUUAUAUCAUCUAUCUGUUGUCCAACCAUCUAUCCAUUUAUCUACCUAUGUAGCUAACAUAUAUCUAUCCUUCUACUUAUCUACCAAGAAAACAAAGUUUCUGCUGAAAUCUAAAAAGAUAAAUUUAUUAAUUUGCCACCAACACCCCUUCAUGAUAAAGGUCUUGGAGAGAUCUGGGAUAACAGGGGCAUACUUAAACAUAA